UACGAACUGUGCGAACGUUAUUCGGAAUCACUGGGCUUACAGGGUGCGUAGGCGGCUUGUUAAGUAGGGUGUGAAAGCCCCCCCGGCUCAACCGGGGAAUUGCGCCCUAAACUGGCGAGCUGGAGUGAGAUAGGGGUGUGUGGAACUUCCGGUGGAGCGGUGAAAUGUGUUGAUAUCGGAAGGAACGCCGGUGGCGAAAAGCGACACACUGGAUCUGUCU
rnacentral:rRNA from 1 species